CAUUCAAAGAAUAAAAUUAAUGUUCAUGAUAAAACUAUUUUUCUGGAUUGGAAAAAAGUAUUUUUUUAACCUAUUAGCCCAGCGUUAACAUAUAGCAACGUUUAUAGGCUCUAUUUAAAAAAAAAAUUAUUUUAAUAUGAGUGUAUUUAUAGAAGUUAUCAACAAUUUAAAACAGUAUUGUAACAGUUACAUUGACAAUUAAAAAAAAAAAUAAUUUGGGUGCUUAUGGGUUAAUUAAUAAAAAAAUACAAAUAAAAGUAUUAAAAUACUUUUAUUCAAAUACUUUACAAGACUGUGGCAUCCUCUUAAAGUACUAUCAUUAUUAGUGGUCUCUUCAAUCAAGAUAUGAAACCAUUUCUAUACAUUUUAAUUCAUUAUAUUAUAUGAUUUUUUUGCUGGUAAAUGCAUACAUUCCAAGGUAAAAUAUAUGUAAUUUCAUUUAUUAUGUGUUUAUUACAAUUUAGUUCAUGAAGAUUAUAAUGAUACGGUAGAAUCGUAUGCAAGUGUCAAACGUCAAAAGGGUAAAUUAAAGAAAGGACCGGCACGUUUGAGAACAACAGGUGUUAAUAACGAUAACACAAAUCAAAAAGGACUAAGGAAGAUCAUAAAGCGUAACAUUAAUGUUACAAAUUUCGAUCAGAUGUAGGUAUCCAAAAGCAUUUUCUACAACAAAACAACACCAGCGGCAUUUUAUUAUUAUAAAAAAAAAAUUAACAUUCUCAACUUGGAUGACUAUCAAACUUUUGACAACUUAAAAUGUUUUGUUGUUGCGUUUAAAUGUUAAUAUUAUUAUUAUUAUUAUUAUUAUUAUGUAUACAACUUCCGUACAUACCUAGUUUGUGUAUUUGUUAUUUUUGUUUGUAAUUAGAUAUUAUAUACCUUUGAUAAUUAUGUUUACCAAUUGUAAACUUUUUAUACAUUUGAUAAAUAUCAAAUGUUAUUUAAUGUAGUAGAAAAUUAUUGUCUUAUAUUUGAAUUAUAUAUAUAGAUUAUAGGUAUACUUACACAUAUUUAGGUGUCUAUUUUUUUUUUUUUUGAUUGCCAAUUUUUGUUUCUUUUUUAUGGAUUUGUAUUAUUAUGGUAGCCUAGAGCUUAUACAAUUAAUUUCUAUGCUAUUAAGAUGUGUGAUCGAAUAUACUUUAAAUCAUUAUUGUUCUUAAUUACUAUUUUUUUUUUUUAUCAUUGAGUAAUGAAAUACUUGUAAAUAUAUAAGUGUAAAUUAUUAUUAUUAUUAUGUCACCUAAAAAAAUAUUUUAAUUAUUUCAAUAUAAUGCGUGUAAUGAGAUUAUAAGUAAACGUCUGUGAUUAUUUUUCAUGUAGUUGUAAGAAAUAAAUAUAUAACAAUAAACAAAUAAUUAUGAUAAU